CCCCGCGUACAUGCCACCGGGGCAUCCCGGAGGCAGGAAAGGCUUCGGCCGGACAGGGAUGGGCAUGCGGCGCAUUAGGCAGUAGGCGGGGUAACGGCCCACCUAACCGACGAUGCGUAGGGGUUCUGAGAGGAAGGUCCCCCACACUGGUACUGAGACACGGACCAGACUCCUACGGGAGGCAGCAGUGAGGAAUAUUGGUCAAUGGUCGGGAGACUGAACCAGCCAAGCCGCGUGAGGGAUGAAGGUACAGAGUAUCGUAAACCUCUUUUGUCAGGGAACAAAGGCGGGGACGUGUCCCCGGAUGAGUGUACCUGAAGAAAAAGCAUCGGCUAACUCCGUGCCAGCAGCCGCGGUAAUACGGAGGAUGCGAGCGUUAUCCGGAUUUAUUGGGUUUAAAGGGUGCGCAGGCGGUCUGUUAAGUCAGCGGUCAAAGCCCGGGGCUCAACCCCGGCCCGCCGUUGAAACUGGCAGUCUCGAGUUGGAGAGAAGUAUGCGGAAUGCGCGGUGUAGCGGUGAAAUGCAUAGAUAUCGCGCAGAACUCCGAUUGCGAAGGCAGCAUGCCGGCUCCACACUGACGCUGAGGCACGAAAGCGUGGGUAUCGAACAGGAUUAGAUACCCUGGUAGUCCACGCAGUAAACGA
rnacentral:rRNA from 1 species